UACGUAGGUGGCAAGCGUUGUCCGGAUUUAUUGGGUUUAAAGGGUGCGUAGGCGGUUCCAUAAGUCAGUGGUGAAAUACGGCAGCUCAACUGUCGAGGUGCCAUUGAUACUGCGGAACUUGAGUACUGAUGAGGUAGGCGGAAUUGACGGUGUAGCGGUGAAAUGCUUAGAUAUCGUCAAGAACACCGAUAGCGAAGGCAGCUUACCAAGGAGUAACUGACGCUCAGGCACGAAAGUGCGGGGAUCAAACAGG
rnacentral:rRNA from 2 species